GACGUGUUUGGAGCUGGAGACGGCCUGGGUGCUGGCGAAGCGGAGGCCGGAGUUAAUACACGAGGAACUCAUGCAAAGGAGGGGACUUUCGGAAAUCCAAACUUAGAGUGCCUUGUAUUUAGAAUCCGGAAGGAAAAGGAAAUGAAAUGUGAAGAAACUCAUGCACCAAACUCGAACUGGGUAUAUGUGAUGUUACCUAGUAAGAAGACUGUUAGAAUGCCCUCGGUAACACAGAGGCUGAGAGAUCCUGACAUAAAUCCUUGUUUGUCGAUCCUGUUCUACCUUUUAAAUGAUGCCUCUCUUAUAUCUGUAAGGAAUCUGAUGCUUCCACCAGAUGUCUGGAUGAAAAUAACUAUGACAGGGAAAGGUGUUCCACUUACUUCUUGAGGUACAAAAACUGCCGGAGAUUCUGGAAUUCUAUCGUGAUGCAGAGAAGAAAGAACGGAGUGAAGCCAUUUAUGCCUACGGCAGCAGAAAGAGAUGAAAUCUUGAGAGCAGUGGGAAAUAUGCCCUAUUGAAUGUUUGCAUUAAAAGUGUUUAUAUAACUU
rnacentral:lncRNA from 1 species